UUUUGUUUAAAAAUUGUUUCAAUUCAAAAUGUAUUGAUCACAAUUGUAUUUUAUUUAAUUGAGGUUAUUAUUAUAUUUUUAAUAGAAUAAUUGUGAAACAUAUUGAGCUCCACAGCAGAGGCCUCCUUUUCUCUGAAAUUAAUAUUAUGUUGUGCUAAGGACUGAAAAACAUAUUGGUUUAAACACAAAGGUAAAUAAUUGGUAGUGUGGUUAAUACAGUGUUCUUAUCAUAAUUCAUUAUGUUUUGCUUUUUUCAGUUCAAAGAUGCCACGUAAAGAAAGACGGCAGAAACAAAAAAGAAAAGAAUUGAUAGAUGCAGCAAAAGGUAGUGGAUUGUUGACCGACUGGGUCAGAACGAGUACUGCAGAUGGACAGAAGGAAAGUGAUAGAUCAGAGGAGGAGACAAAAAUGCAGUCAACAACACAGGAAGACAGGCAAGGAGAGGGACAACAGUCAGAAAUCAAAGACACAGAAAUGCAGUCAACACAGGAAGACAGGCAAGGAGAGGGACAACAGUCAGAAAUAAACACCAUGGAUGAAAAUGCAGAGCAACAAGUCAGAGAGAAGCCAUUCAUAUUUUUAAUGGACCUUCCACACCCAAAUGACCCAGCACAUGUCUUGCAAUUCAACAUAAAAUAUGAUGAAGCAUUUAUCCAAAAUUGUGUAAACCAAGGACCAUGCCAACCAGAGCUGUCAUUUCCUAAAAAUGAAGAAGGAAGGUCUUUUCAGAAUAAAUGGUAUAAGAGUAA